GACGGCUUUUCUUGGAGGUCACCAUCGACAGCUCCUCGUUGACGUUAGGCUACGUUAUCUGGGUCCUAUCAGGUUAAUUUUUCUUCAGAACUUCCAAGAAUGGUCCAUCUUUUUCUGAUAUUUCUUGGGGUUUGUUUGGAUCUUAUUUCAUGUCAUCUGCUUCUAACCCUUGGAGGCAUCUGUAGGUUGCAGAAUAUGGACCAUCUACAUCUACUUGUGGUGUAUCCGUAACGUCUGUAAGCAUAUGAUGGUCAAGAUUUUCUCUAUAAAAUGUUUAAUGCAUAUGGGUUUGAGAGCUUUUCUCGAUUCAGAAGAGCUUGAGUUGGAGGGUUUUUUGCCCAGAGAAUCAGAAGCAAUGGCCAUGGCUUCGCUUCAUAUAGCUAUACUUUCAUACAACCAUGUACAAUCUUGUUGGUGUUGGGCAGAUCUGUCUUUUAUGUGUAAAACCUGUACUAGAAUUGUUCCCAAUUUCUAUCAUGUUAUGGCUGAAGAUGUCCUAUAUGCAAAAAGAGUCUAUGCUGCUGGAUUUUUUCAGAAUGAAAAGAGGGAUAAAUACACCCUAGAAAAACUUCAGGAGUGGAAGAGGAUGUUCUACGGCUUUUCACAUAAAAUGGGUGAUUCCGUUAACAGCAAUGAAGAUGAGGACAGGUUGCAGCUGAAGAAUAUUGUUUCUUUUGUAUUGAAAGUAAUUAGAAUGGUAGCAUUCGCGGUCGCAGAGUGUGAUGUAGGUUUAAAUAAAGCUGUAAGAGACUUCGACAUUGGCUACACUACAGUAUUUGAAAAGCUUAUCAGAUGGCAAAUUUUAGAAAUAUGGGUAUGGGCGGUUCAGGCAAAAUUAAAGUUAUUCUAGCAGUUGCUCUCUGCAUGAAGAGCAGCGAUUAAUGACAAGGGAUUUGGGAAGGGACAUUGCAAAUCAACAAUCACCUUACUGUUCUUUAUUGUCACGGCGAGGGAUUGCCAUGUAUAAUGGAUCACAGGUCAAUAGUCCCGUAAAAGUUAUUCUAUGAUGUAUUUAUUAAUCAUCAUGGUCGAGAUGUUAAACACACAGUGGCCAAUGGCAUGAGACUAAAGUUUUUCUGGGAUUCAAAAGAGGUUGAAUUGGGAGAUUCCUUGCUUAGAGAACUAGAAGAAACAAUGAUUAGUGCUUCGUUUCAUAUAUAGCUAUAUUUAGAGACAACUAUGCUAGUAUGCACUAUUCUUGUGGUGUUUGGUAGAGCUGUCAUUUAUAAUUAAAAGAGGUACUAGAACAGUUUCCAAUUUCUUUCAUAUUAAGCUUGAAGAUGUUUGAAAUGUAUGUUGAUGCAUUUUAUUAGAAUUAAACGAAGGGUAGAUACACUUCAGAAAAGCUUAAGGAAUGGAACAAGGUGCUUUAGGAUGUUUGUUCACACUUUAAUUCGACAAAAGUCAUCUUCAGAAAUGGAAGGAGGCAAUCUAGGAUGUUCUACCACAGUUCAAUCUGAAAAAAGUCAUCCUCUAGGGUGGAAGAAGGCACCCUGAGAUAUUUAUUUCACAAGAUUCAAUGGUAUGGGUGGUUCUAGCAAAAUUAAUUUUUCUCAAAAGUCUAGUGUCAUAUUAGAUGUUAGUAAUGUUUCCCAAAAAAGCUUGAUGCACAAUAAGUAGAAAAUUAUCUCAAAUGACCUUGGUUUCAGUAGUGUCAAUUCACAAUAUAGAAGAGGGGAAGGCGAUUCUUGCAGGCUGCUUGAGAUCUGAUCGAAAUGUUCAUCAUCUGGAUGAUGUUGAUCAUGUGAACCACCUGAAUGCUCUAUUGACUGUCAAUGGUGGCUUGGGAUCCAUUGAUUUGAUUGUAUCAGGAACUUUGAUUGUUGUCACUACUAGUUGAUUUGAAGUCCCUAGAUUUUGGGGUAUCUCUUCCAUGUGUAAAAUGAAAGCAUCGAGUGUAUUUCAUGACAAGCAAUUUUGGCUGACAUGCUUCUGACAAUUGUCUCCAAUGGAUGGAUUUGAGAAGCUUGUGGAAAAUAUCUGAAAAGCAAGUAGUGGCUAACACACGCUGUCAAAGUCCUUGGUAGGCAGCAUUAUGGAAAGUUAAGCGAAGAUCACUGGUAAACUCAAAUAUGUAAUAUCUCUAGGCUACUGCAUGAUGAUUUCAAGCAGAGGAUUUUGAAGUGAUGAUGCCCUAGAUGAUGAUAGCGUUUUUGGAUACCGUGUAUUUCUUCAUUCCUUCAUUGGAGAAUAAGGCAAGGGAUCUGGUAAGGGAAAUUGCAAAAUCAACAGUCACCUUACCGACUUUGGGCUCCAGCAAACUAUUAAAGUCUAUAAUGAAGAACAGAAAGGAACACUUCGAGGAACAAAGCCACCUCAAUUUGAGUGAAGUGGGAUUUUUGGCUACGAUACUGGCGAAACAGAUGGAUCAAAUAGUGAUGAUAAGGGGUUAGGUGAUUGCUUGUGCGGAAUUCAUGGUUAACACAAACAAAGUCUCAACAGAUCUGGUCUGGCUUCGGUGGUUUGAUUUUGGGCAGAGAAAUCUUCAGCCAGUAAUUCCAUUGAAAAGUUUGAGGGUUUUACAACUAUAUGGGCUGGGGGUUCGGGAACUCAUCACUUAUGAGAGCUUUUGGUGACUGAGUGUGAUGCACCGUUGCAGUUAAGAGAGUUGGUAAUUUCAGAGUGCCAAGAAUCCCAAGGGUUUCCUAAGUCAGUACAAUAUCUCAAGCAUUUGAAUUCAAGAUAGUCCUGUGUUGGGGAUCAAGAACAAGAUGAAGCGUCUUCCAGAAGAAUUUUGCCUUUUCCAAUUGGUGGAGCACAUGGAUUAAUCGGGUGUGUUGAGCUGUCGUUGGUUCAUCACUGCCUAACAGUAUGGGCAAUUUGAGACAUCUGUGGCAUGCAGAUUUGAGGAGGUGCUGGAAAUUGUGGGUGUUGCCAGACUCUUUAAGGAGUUGAUGCUUCUGCAACGUCUGGACUUAGGGGAAUGUUCUAAUUUCCCUUUGAAAUUAGACCUCCUGGAAAACAUGACAAAGUUGGGUAUCUGUACUUCUCAAAAAGCAAGCAAUUGGAAGAGUUGCUCCAUCACAUCAUAAAUCAGGUGUCAGGUACCAACGAAGAUCUGUCAACUGAGCAAGCUGUGAAAAUUGGAUAUUAGGAGUGAUUGUUAAGAAGCUUGCUGCCCUCUCUUGGAGAUUUGUCUUCCUUUAUUAAUCUUUGUGUUGAUCGGUGUCCUGAGCUGGAAUGUUUACCAGAGUGGGUGGGGCAUCCUAUUCUGUUAUUCAGUAUAACAGAAUCAGGAGCAAAAUCUUCACCAGAACCAGUUUGAAACUCUGAAGAUAAUGAAUUGUUCAAUCAGUGAACUGUAUAUUGGGUCAGGGUUGUUUAGUUCUUCCUUUUGCAACCUCAAGAGGAUAGAUCUAGAAGGAACUAAAUUUUCCUGUAUUUCCAUCUCAGAAGACUGUUGUCCUAGCUUUGAAACUCACACUUGAGUAUAAUCACCAUUGACACAUAGAAGUCAUAUCAAGUACAGUUAGAGACAGCAGGGGUUUUGUUGGUAUUGUAAACCAUCAAAACUGGGGACAACUGAUUGCCGUAAGUGGAUCCAUUUCCCAUUUUUGUACAAUUUGCUUCUCCAAGGAUUUGAACUUAAAGGUUGCUGCCAAAUUAAGAAAAUACAAGGUACACAAAUUUGUAGAGAACUGGAGGUGAUGAAAGUAUAUAUAGGGUGGCCUGUAUAGAAAUUUUUGAGUGCAUGGAAAGAUUGAGGAGAAGAGCAGAGGCUUAUAGGGGCUUAUGACAAAUUUAAUCUGCCACAUUUAGGUCGAUAGGCCUAAAUUAUCCUUAAUGUAGAAAAAGAUGAAUUCAGUAAAAUAAUAAAUAUUUUCUAUAUUGCAGCGACCAUUGCAACCUAAGAUUUUGCCGUACAUCUUCUAGAAAGUUAAAUUUAUGUCAUUGGAAUGAAUUUUCUAUUUUCUUUAAUAAAAUAUUUUUUUCUUCGAAGUAGAUUUCUUUUGGUAAAUUAAAGAUAUGGAUUUUUUUCAAUACUCCCUUUUAGAGUUGGUCUAGUGGUGGAGAACUUGUGCUCUUGAAAAAGAGGUCACAAGUUCAAAUCUAAAGGGAUAAGGUAUCCUCCUGCAAAGAAUAGAAGUAAUCCCAUAUUGCUUAAACCAAUCUAUGGCCCAUAUACAGAUUUGAACUAUAUUUAAAGAUCUUUUCCUUUCCUAAGUUCUUGCCUGCCAAGUAAACUGUGCUAUAGCAUCUGUAGAUGUAUAACUGUUGAAUUAUCAAUUGGUUGUUUGACCAAUUAAAACCGACUAUUUUUAUCAGUUCUUGCCUCCCACAAUGUUGAAAGAGACAACCAUGCCGAGAACUGUGCAUUUUUUGACAAAGAAUGUUAAAACAAUCACUUUUACUUUGUAAUUGGCUCAGCGAUUUGAAGUCUUAUUCCUGCCUUUAUGUUGUUAGAAAUAUACUCGGACCUCAGCAUCAUCUUUUCUCCUCAUCCAGAACAGUCGUCAGUUAACUGUAAGGUAUCAACUAAAUAUUUCAGUGCUACUGCUCAGCUACCUAAAAAAUAUCACCUGAAAUUGUUACCAGCUGCAUGGGAAGGCCUACCUCAGCUGUAGGAAGACAUAGUAAUGCAGGUAGAUGCUCCAUCAGCUGCUGACCUCCCUGAUGCUUCCUACCACAACUUCGGAUCGGUUAUAUAUGAAUAAAUUUGUACCCCUUCUCUGUCAAAUUUUAUUGCUCACCACAAAGUGUAGCCUUAUUUACUAAAGUGUAGAAUUCUAAGAAAAAUUCUCUUGACUUUGAGGUACGCUCUGUGGGAGGUGAAAAGCCACCUCAUCUGCCCUAGAGCCUGUACCUCCUCUUGCUGGCGUAUGCGUGAUCCUACUGGUGUCCUUGGUUGAUUGCGUGUCUUUUUCCCUGUGUUUCUUUGCCUUUAGUCUUUUCGUGGGCUUGCUUGUGUUUGUGGGUCUCUGGUCCUCGACCUGGGCUCCCAUAUGUGUUCCAUUUUUUCGAUUGCAUUUUGUCUCUGGGGUUCGACCACUUGAUCCCUAGUCCUGUAUUUAUUCCACUUGUGUUUUAUGGAAGCAUUAAAUAAUGUACUCCCAGGCCUUAAUGAUAUUGGGGGCGAUGAAAGUGUGAAGGAUGUUAGUGUUUCAGAGAAGGAUAUUCAAAAACCCUCGUUCAAAACUGUUGUUUCAGAGAAUCUUGUCACUGUGUGUCCGCCAUCUGCAGCAUUCAAUGACACCAUCUUGGAGCAGCCCGCAAUGGUGCCAGGAAGACCAUUCGGGAAGCGUCGUCGAAAUUGGAGAUCCCGGAGGGGGAGGAAGUUGUAAGUCCUCUAUUCUUGGCCCGAAAACUCUUUCACUUUCUCCCAAUGAGGAUAUGAUUAAGGCCAUCAGAACUGAACAAUCUCGUUUGAGGAAUGUGGCAAUAUUCUUUGUUUGUAUGGAUGGAUAGAGUCCUAAAAAAGGGAUUUUGGAACGUAGGACAAUCCCUCCUACGAGCUUUUCCUUGGUUGCCGAAGGGUGAUCUUGAACAAGUUGUUGCUCGUUCCUCACCGAAUUGGGUGGAAUUAAAAAGGGCUUCAACCUGAAUUCUGGCCUUUUAUCUCUCAAAUUUUAAAACCCUUAGGGUCGGUCCUUCAAGUUGAAGACUCAAGGGUCACUCUCCCUCAUUUGCAUGGUAGAAUUUUGAUUGCUUUGUCCCCUGAAAUUUCCAUUCCUGAAAAGAUUUCAUUAAAAAUGGAGGAAGAUGUAUAUACUUGGGAACUCUCAUUGCUUGGUAAUCUUAGUGCUUGUUUUCAUUGUAAAUUAAAUGGACGUACUAGAAGAGAUUGCCUGUCUCUUAAAAAUGUAUAGAAGGGCAAUUUUAAUGUCGCUUCUAACCCUAAUUCUGGGGCAAACCCUUCUGUGAAUAAUGACAAAAACUCUGAAAAGAAUGGUGGGUCGAAUUGUAAUAAUGUUGAUAAGGAUGUAAAUGUGGAUAAUGUAAAUAGUGCUAAGAAUUUUGAAAGGGAUUACUCUGAUAUCAAUAAUGGUGGUUCCAAAUUUA